rnacentral:rRNA from 1 species
CGGUUAGCUAACCUUUUGGAAGCGGCCGUCGAAGGUGAAACCAAUGACUGGGGUGAAGUCGUAACAAGGUAGCCGUAUCGGAAGGUGCGGCUGGAUCACCUCCUUUCUAAGGAG